AAUGAAAAAAUGUGAGAUAAGUGCAAUUGUUUGUACUCCAGUGGGAGGGACAAGACUAUCGCAGCAUUCUUCAAAAUAAUGCAGGUGUUGAAAAGAUCGGUCGACCUGAAGAGACACUGCACAACUGAAUGAAUUGGAUCCGUUGAAACAGGAGAUUUCACUGAUCUUGAAAUAAGUCACAAGAGAAUUGCGUAAAUCCUAAACCGCUUUGUCUCUGAGCAAUCAAUUUAACGAUCACCCUUCUCCUCGGGCUUGAGUUCAUUUACCGGUUGUAAGUUGAGGACUGGUCUUAUUCACCAAUAUUCCAUCUGUUCUGAUUUUCUUAUCAAUGGAGAAUAUACAGUGACACUAUCUUCAGUGAAAUCUGAGGGGUGAGGAGUGAAUCUAUUUCUCAUGAUUUUCCAAGAGUGGGCAAUUCAGCGAGCAUCAGAGGAAAUUCCCUGACAGUUCUACAUUAUAUCACUACCUUGCAAGCAAGCGAUGUUCGAUUUAAUUUUUAUAAUUAAAUGUUGACUCACCGAUUUACGAACUCAGCGAUAAUUUAAAAUUUUGAGCUCAAAUAAAGCCUUAAAAACAUAGUAAUCCUCGAACAAUCGCGCUUACCUUAGGCAUAAUUAGUUUAAGUCUACGUAAAUGCUAAAUACAUUUAGCACUACUGCUUAUUAGAAUAAUGUUAUGACGUCGUACAUAUCUGGUGUGUCUCCUAAAUCUUUCCAAUCGUUAAUAAUCACUAUUAUCUUCCUCUCUCAUUACUGUUUAUUACGGUAUUUCCUUGAUUUUUAGAUAGCACUAUAAUGCUUUCGUAUUGCAUCGAUGGCAGUACAGCCCUACUUAGUCAUGCAAAGAUAUAAUGAAUUAAUUUUUAAUUGCUUCAUCGUUUUUCUAUUCGAAAAUCAGUUGCUUUCGCUAUUAUUCUCAAUCCUCUCUCUUUAUUAUUCACCAUGCACUUACUCAAUGCAAUAUACGCAUGUAAAUUUUACGUUAUUCAUUAUUCCAUAUAUUCGUAAUAUUUGUUUUAAUCCUCAUUACGCAUUUUUACUGCAGUCUGUACUGUAGACCAUGCGCCGCGAUCGCGUAUCGAUACGCGUGGAAUAAUCACUACGUCGUUUAUCAUAAUUCAACUAAUUUUAAGUGUUUUUGUAUUUUUUUUUGUUUUAAAUAUUUCUUCUAUAUAAUUCUCGGCAAUAAUGAGUUAUUAACAUAUUUUCUAUAAAUAUAGUUAACCCUCGCGUUGCUCGACGCGCCUUCAGCCGACGCUCGAUGCUGUUUCUUUCAUUCCUCAUAUGCGUUUUUUUCUUCUUAAAUAAAAGCUAGAAAAUAUGAGUAUAUUUUAUCAUGUAAACUAUCGUCUCGUCCAUAAACUCAAUUAUCUCUUUUAUUCAAUGUCGUUGAAUUCAAUUCGAUAGUUUUGAUAACUUGUAGCGGCUCUUCUAUAGGGAAUUUUGUUUUUAUGAUUUAUCAUCGUGGCAUAUUUAAUUAAUUGUAAUCAAGUUUGUGUGUGUGUGUGAAAUGCACGUGUGGCUGGGUUCAUUAUUCGUCGAGUCUAAUUGGAUUAAUCUAUCGUUUUUUCACGGGCUUUCCACGUAGGGAAUUUUCCCCUUUCUUCUGCGUCUUUUAUGGCUUUUGAAUACCCCGGGUGUCUUGGGAGAUCCAAACGGAACAAUAUCCUGUAAAUAUCAGUCGAGUUUCUUUUUUUUUGGGAAGGGGGGGGGGGUAUCACAAUUUAUGCAUUUCCGCAAUAUCAAUAAUAUCUAUGUGCAUACUAGGCUCACAUUAUUCGUUUUAUCAACAUCAUUUAGGUUUAUUUUUAUAUCACAUCUGUCUAACGUCACUGCGCCCAAUCACAAGUUAUUACCAUUUGGUUAAAUUAAUUCUUUUUCGGAUUACUUCUGCUAGUGGUGAUCACUCAACUUUGGUUCGCAAUUAAUAAUAAUUUUAAGCACGAGUGGAAUUUAUUUAUAUUCUCCGUUUUUGCACUGAGAAGAAAUAAUAGAAUAUUUACGGUGAAAUUGAGGGGAAAAAAUCCGGGGAUUAAUCUCGGAUCACCGAUAUUCUUUAAAGAAACACUUGGAAAUUUUUCUUUUUUUCAACUUUGAAUUACAAAUGCAAUUUGACAGAAGUCUAGUUCAGAAAAAUUCAGGGAAAAUGGGUAAUUAUUUCGGUGGCUCCAGUAAUUUUUUUUUUCAGAUUUGAAUUGAAAUUGAAGGAUUUAACCUAGAUGUUUGCAAAAAUGAUUCAAUUUGUACAUGUUUUACUCCUUCCAGUCAAUUUCACCUGCAAAUUUCCUUUCUAUUUUUUUUUCUCUGUGAAAUUUCUAAUUUUUGGUUCGUGUCCGCGAUUUGCUCCGAUGUACGGUAUGUAUGAUUUUCAGUUGAUGAUUUUUUUCAUUGCUUCGUUAAUUCUUCCGGUAUUAUCACUCCUAAUUGAUCUAAUUGACACUGCCGUCACUUAAAAUGUGAAUUAACGUACGAUACCGGAGACUAAUUUAGGUAAUUCAAAUAUCAGGCACUUUAUAACAUUUUUUACGCAUUCACGAAAUUAUUCGUUGGCUUGUUGAAUUCUUUGGUUCAUGUUCGUUGCGUUCUCAUGAUUUAAGAAAAUUAGAGGACACAAGAGUACACAAGAGUACACAAGAAAAGGAUGAAUGAGGAAUAGGAAAGAUUGCAGUCAAGUAGACAGAGGUUUUCUUUAGAUUUCUAUUAGAUUUAGAUUAGAAAUUUGAGUAGAGCCACAUCAUAUAAUCUCUUAUUAGAAAUUGCGGACUUUUGGACUUGAAUAGUUGGUCUCCGCUCGGGAUUGAAGGUCCUAAAUUUCAUGUCAUAACUCUGUUGAAAUGUCAAGUGAAAAGCCUCGAGAUGUCUGAAAGAUUUGUCCGCCAAUAAAAUAAAGCUUGAAUUUCAAUUUCAAACAUUUUCAACAGUUCUACGGACAUUAAUUAGAAUUUUGAGAAGAAUGCCUCAACGCUAAUCAACAGUUAAUUGUUUUAAUAUUAGUAAUAAGGUAAUUUCACCCGAGUGGAGUUAUAUUGACUACCGAUAUUGACUAUUCACUAAUUGAACUUUUUGUCACUUCGUCCAUAAGUCAGAUUUUUUAUUUAUGGACGUAAUGACAAGACUGAAUAGCACAAAUGUGCGUUUCUAACGAUUUUCAUUCAAAUUGAGUUUAAAUUUUCAUUGGAUCACCCGAAUUUGAGCUCAGAAGGUCAUUCUGACUGGAAAAAUUGGGGAAUACACGUAGUAACGAGAGAUCGUGAGCAGAGUAUUACAAUAAUGUACAAUCUCGAAAGAUUUGUUCAGCUGAUUUUUUACAAUUUCAUUCAAUUCUCACAAACAUUAGCAAAAUAUCGGGAAAUAAUUUUUUAUCCGUCGUCAGUCUCUGUUCAUUAUUGGAAUCUCCAACAGCUAUACAAAUUUUAGUCGGCCAUUUGUUAUUGACGAUUCAUGAGUGAAAUAUCGGGAAACAUUUGAAUUCGGAAGCUGAAUUUUUUUCACGUAUAAUACGACAAUUGUAAAUCAGGCCCGAUUUUUUUUUUACCGCUUUGAAUAAUUAGUUCGGGCUGUUUCAGAUUUAUUGACUAUUUUGUGGAAUCCUCUGGAUGAAGAGGUGCAGAGUAAUUUCGAUAAUUUGAUUCCCUUCAUCUUUUUUAUGCGUAAAAAAGAGACGAGAGAAACUAACGGGUGAAUACAUUAUUGAUGAAUGGUGAGAGUUCGAAACCGAUAUUUAUUGAAUAUUGGCCCACGGGGGACCCAGCCUCUCGCCAGCAUUUAAUAUUAACCAUUAAAUUACCUCCGUUACUGUUAACUCAGCCUCGAUUAACCUAUCGUUAUCAUCAAUCAGCUAGUGUUUUUUCCCUAGGGAUGCCUACAUUUAAAUUCUAUAUUUACACACGCCAUACUGUAGAACUUCUACUCAAGAAAAAUCAAUACCUCUAAAUAUAUAUUAAAAAUAUUCGUAACAAUGUGCGCGUCAUUUUAAAAAAUUACAUUAUUUGUUUCUGGUGUAAAAUCGCAGGGGCCAUUAUUGAACGCAUAUUCAUUGCUAUUUUCGGGUUGUUGUUGCUCGGGAGAGAGCUGAAAAAUUUACUGGUCUACAACAAUUUAUCGAAGUGAGAGCUAUAGUUUAAAUCACACUACCAUUAUUCCAGGGUUGCAUCGAUGAUAACGUCGCCCACUCUCGUGACUUGUUCAUGUUUCUGUUUUAAUUUACAUCCCCUUCCCCCCUUUCUCCUCGUUAACCACCCCCUGUGAUUCGGAUUUUAUCUUUCAAUGUUUAUCAACGAUGCCGGUCUGUGUGCUUGCGGCAAUAAAAAGAAAUGUACAAUUCAACGAACUCGCCAACUAGCAAUUUCUUGACAAUUAUUCCAUGGAGAGAAAUUUCUUUUUUUAACCGAGAAUUUUGUGGGAAUGUUCUCAAAUGUCCAUUCAAUUGAAUAAGCAGUCUGAAAUUAUCAAGUUCUUUCAUUUCUCCUGGCGCCAUUGCAUUUGAAAUCGCAAUAAUUUUGUAAUUGCAAUUUUGCCAUUAUUUUUUGUUACUCAGCAAACUAGCAAAGGAUCGUUGAAUUGAAUUCGUGCACAUAAAUAUAUGAACAUUUCAAGUCAGUUGGACUCCCCCAUUUGAAAUAAUAGUAGAUAAGCCAGAAGAUGCAUGCAUACAAUACUUAAACCCCUUAAUCGCAGCUUAUUUUCGCUCUUCAUGUUCAAUUGUUCACUGCAAAAGUUUUAAUUGCGUUACCACUUAAAGCUAGGACUGUUCUGAACACAUUUGUUCUGUUAGUGUCGUGACUCGUAAGCGCAUUAUUUCUUGCUUCGUUAUUUUUUUCUCAAUAUAAUAUAUCUUUUUUCAUUAUCGACGGAGUUAAAAAUGUUAUCGCGUUAGUUUGGUACGAUUUUUCGUCUAUCUCUCAUUUUUUUAUCAAGCGUGAAUGCUAAACAUGACAAAAAAUGUUCCCUCAGUGAGCGACAUCAGUCUAACGAUUUUUCAGGUGACGAAUUCGUAAAUUCAACGGGACGGUAAUAACUCACUGUCAAAAUUUUUUGAUUGGAAUAGCCAAGGGUCGCCCCAGAAUUGCAUUAAUUUAAAAUUACUGUAUUUCUUUGUAUCAUGGUAAACAUAAAUCUUUCAAAAAUUAAUUCACAAACCUGAUAAAGUUGAUAAAAUCCAUCAAUCAAUUUAGUUACUUGGAUAUAAAAUUUAACUAUGAAUGUUUAUUCAUGAAUUUCAAAAUUCAUGCAUAACGGGAUGAUAUGAGGGAAUUUUUAUCCUCAUCCUAAUCUAUUUGAGGUAAGAUCAUUGAAUCAAUGGAAUAUGGCAAUAUUUCGAAUUCUGAAGACGUUCACUGUCAAUUCAACCAGAAUUUUUCAACAGCGGCGCGUGUUUGAGUGGUGAUGCGCUAUUUCAUAUGAAUUUUCAGGCUCAAUUUGUUUUAACUACAUUCGAAAAUUCCUCCAGUUUUUCCAGAGCGAGAGAGAGAGAGAAAGAGAGAGGUAGAAAAUUAGAGAGCAAGAGAGAAAUAUAGAGCUGAGAGGUGCCUAGCUGAAUAGAUAAAGCGCGUGCAGCAAAGUAGCGACCUUCUGCUCUAGGGAAUAAGUCAAGUUUUUAAGAAUUAAACGUCAAAGCGAGUAAUUAUUAACCAUUCAUUAGCUUCUCACUUCGUUAUAUUUUCUCUGCAUAAUGUCUACCUCGUUUGUAAAAUGGCAAAAAUAAAAUAAUAAAGACGAGAGCGAAACAGGAAGUUGAGAAAAUUCGAAUAAAUUCAGCUUAUUGUUUGAGACGGUAAUGCAUUGAUGUGAAAAAUUGAAAUGUGAAAACAGAAGAGGGCCUGACCCAUUCGAAUACAUCGUAUGCAAAGUGGAAGCUUAUAAUAAUUGAAUUUUUAUAAUUUAUACGAGUAAUCUACCGCUAAGUACCCCGUA